rnacentral:rRNA from 1 species
UACAGAGGGUGCGAGCGUUGUCCGGAAUCACUGGGCGUAAAGGGCGCGUAGGUGGCGACCCAAGUCAGUGGUGAAAGCUCGAUGCUCAACAUCGAGUCGGCCACUGAUACUGGGUUGCUCGAGCACUGUAGAGGCAGAUGGAAUUCCGGGUGUAGCGGUGGAAUGCGUAGAGAUCCGGAAGAACACCGGUGGCGAAGGCGGUCUGCUGGGCAGUUGCUGACACUGAGGCGCGACAGCGUGGGGAGCAAACAGG